UAAUACAGAGGUUCUCUGAUGAGUUUUAAAAAAUGAUUUUCAGAAUGAAUGUGAACAACUAAAUUAUGCGAAACAGUUAAAAGAAAGACUGGAAGCUUUUACCAGGGAUUUCCUUCCUCAUAUGAAAGAAGAGGAGGAGGUUUUCCAGCCAAUGUUGAUGGAAUAUUUUACUUAUGAAGAAUUAAAGGACAU